GAAAUUGACCUCUGAGCAGCACCUCCACGCGACGCUAUCUCCUCUCUCGCUCAUCUCUUCUCUGCUCAGAUUCAACUCCCUUCCGAUUCAACUCUUCCUCUUGCUCGCCUCAAAUUCUCAACCUCCUCUCCAUCAUCUUCGAACUCAACUCUCUCCUAUUAGCUCUCUCCUUUUUAGAUUCAUUUUGUGACGCGGUUACCGUUGUUAAAGAUCAGAGAUCGCGAUUUCGUUGUAGAUCGAUGAAGUUGCAUUGUGAUGUAGUGUCGAGCCUCGAAGAAGUGAAGGAGAGGAGUUAUAGUUACAGGACAUGGUGACGUUGAUUGCUGCGAUGUGAUAAUGAAGCUCGUGGUGAAGAUGAAGAUGAUGUGAUGAGGAUCGUUGUCAGUAACGAGAAAUUCAAAUGAUUGAAGUUGAUGAACGUGAUGUGAUUCGUGAUACGAUGCGAUUCUGAUUGAAGAUGAUGAAUGUGAUGAUUGAACGUGAUGAUGAUGUACGAAGACGAAUUGGAGAAUUCGAUUUCCCUUUGCGUUACAGUGGUGAUGAAGAUGGAAGAAGAUGGAAUUUGAGAGAGUGAAGAUUGAAAGCAGAUUGAAGAUUGCUGGAGCAGAUCGAAGAGUGUCAUUGGAGAAUAAGAAGAAGAGUUUGUUACGUUUCUGUUACAGAUUUUUCUUUGAUUUUUUUCGUUCUGAAAACUCUCCUCUCUGGGUUCUGAACCGGCCUGGCUUUCUUUGUUAAGGCAGGGUUUUAUUUUGGAUAUGGUGUUUGAAUUCCUGCCAGUUUAGUUGUUGGAAUACGGAUUUUCGAUGAAGCCUGGGAUUUCUAGUUUUGAGUGCAAGUCGGUUGACU